AGUGAACGCUGGCGGCAUGCCUAACACAUGCAAGUCGAACGGCAACACGCUGCGUGCUUGCUCUUACCGGUGGCGGGUGGCGGAUGGGUGAGGAAUGCAUCCGAUCCUACUUUUUCUUGGGGCAUAACGUAAGUAAACCUACGAUAAGACCUCAUAUGCCGCACGGGUGAAAGCAUGGGAACUUCUCGCCUUGUGUGUUUGUAUGAGCCGAUGUCGGAUUAGCUAGUUGGCGGGGUAAAGGCCCACCAAGGCGACGAUCCGUAGCUGGUCUGAGAGGAUGAUCGGCCACACGGGAACUGAGACACGGUCCAGACUCCUACGGGAGGCAGCAGUGGGGAAUGUUGGACAAUGGGCGCAAGCCUGAUCCAGCCAUGCCGCGUGUGUGAAGAAGGCCUUCGGGUUGUAAAGCCCUUUUAUUGGGGAAGAAAAGCUGUAGAUUAAUACAACGCGGUUAUGACGGUACCCAAAGAAUAAGCACCGGCUAACUACGUG
rnacentral:rRNA from 1 species